GGGGCGGAGGCUCCCGGGGUGACCCGCAGGAGUGAGCAGAGGGGCGAGGUUCUCGCCAGGGUCGGACUUCCAUCGGAGAACAUGAACCUCUGGAGGCCCCGCCUUGUUUUUGUCAGAUGAUCCACUCAGCCAUGGCCUCCCCACCCCCACGAAAGGCUCAACCACAGGCCGAGGCUGGGCCCGCCCUAAGCCCGAGGCCAAGCUGUUUGCAAAUUACCUUUGACCGAGGCCGUCGGGUCUCUAACCCCCUCCGCCCGGACGGCCCUGCGGCUCCAGCUCUCCGGCGCCUACCCCACCCCGCUCCCAGGACUCCCAGCUGUUUUUCCUUUUUUCAUCUUCCUUUUUAUUAUUUAUUUUUACUUUUAUUUUUUCAUUUUCCAUUUUAAAUGUGCCAGCUAUAAGCGGUGGAAAAUUUUUUGUUGUUAAUAUGGACCAUUCAAAUAUUACCCUAUGGUUAUAAAAAGUGUUAUGUCCUCAG